rnacentral:rRNA from 1 species
GGGUGAGUAACGCGUAGGUAACCUGCCUUGUAGCGGGGGAUAACUAUUGGAAACGAUAGCUAAUACCGCAUAACAAUGAAUGACUCAUGUCAUUUAUUUGAAAGGGGCAAUUGCUCCACUACAAGAUGGACCUGCGUUGUAUUAGCUAGUAGGUGAGGUAACGGCUCACCUAGGCGACGAUACAUAGCCGACCUGAGAGGGUGAUCGGCCACACUGGGACUGAGACACGGCCCAGACUCCUACGGGAGGCAGCAGUAGGGAAUCUUCGGCAAUGGGGGCAACCCUGACCGAGCAACGCCGCGUGAGUGAAGAAGGUUUUCGGAUCGUAAAGCUCUGUUGUAAGUCAAGAACGAGUGUGAGAGUGGA